CUUUGCCCUAGUGGUCUAUCCUAUGAAAUUGAAUGUUAUUUGUAACCAGGAGAGCCAGUUGGUUACGUUAGUUGCUAAACAGUUCGCAUACAAGCGGUUGGUAGGCGACAGUUGGAAUGUUUGCGUUCACACACUAUUAUCAUGAGCGGUCUCGAACAGUGAUUAAAUUAUUUGGGAAGGAAGUUUGUUAGUAACAGUACGCAUGCACAAGUUAGCCGUUUAGCUAGCUAACAAACUAUUUAAAAACAAAUCAAACUUGACUGUCAACAGCGAGUGCAAAAUGCCAGUUCAAACGAUGCAAUUGGCAUUAUACGAUGCAACUCGUUUUGUAGAAACACAAUUUCACGCAAAUAGCUUUGCUUGAUCAACAGCACUAGCUAACUAACAUAGUUAGCUCAUUUGAAUAUCCUCAAGGCCAACGUGAGUAGUUAGCUAGCUAACGCGUUGGUCUAGCCCUUUGAUUUGGUGAAGAAUGGCUGGUACGGUAUUGGGCGUGGGAACUUUUUUUUUCUUCCAUUGCUCUUAUCUGGAUUGUAGCUUUCGUGCUGGGGAUGAUCCUCUUGAGAGCUACUGGACCAACUAACUUAGGGGUCAUCCCUGUCUUCCUGCUGGCCCCUCAUUUCCACUCUUAUCCUGGUGUUCUUCCCCUGUAGCUCAGAGACCCUGUCACCAUUCAAAGAUUUUGAGAACUGAUUGCAGUGGCUCACUUGUGACAUCUGUUGGAAGAAAGAGGAAUUACACAGACCAUUGAAACACAAGAUACACACUUAUCAAACAUACAGAAACCAUCUAUCCUAAACUAACCCAUUUAUCAUCAGUUUGUACUGAUGAUAAACCAAUGAACUGAUAACUGUCUGAACAUCUCUUUCCUCCUGCAGACCGUAGACACUUUCUUCAUCAGCCGAUACGUCCUGCUGUCGGUGGCCAGCGUAGGCUUCUUGGUUGCUCUGUUCGGCCUGCUGCCCCUCCAUUUCCUGGAAGCUGUCUAAGCCAAGCCCUUGAACACACUAGAGCUGAGUGGCCAGGCCAAGUUGGCAUGCUAGACUAGUGGCCAGGGCCCAAUGUGCAGCGCUGGAGAUGAGAAGAGGCCAACUAAGAGGGGCCCUAGUGAAAUCGAGCGCAGGACAGGUUGGCAACCGAGCCCAAAAACAGACAGGGCCAAUGUUUUCUCCGUGAUCGACUGUUUGUUGUUGGGGGGAAUUUUGGGCCAACUGAAAUUAAAGAGGCUACUAUGUUCUUUGGUAUAGGCCACUGUAAACAUAAACAAUGUGUUUUGUGUUUAUGGAUAGCAAUUAGGCUACUUUGAAUUGUGGUGGUGGAAUAGCACUUGCAUUAAUAUAAUGCAUUUAUCUCUGUUGCCUGAUUCAGAAGUUCAGAGGAUAAGACUGAUAACUGUAUGUAUAUUUUUGACAUUCACUUUUUUUUUCUCCACUUGUAUUUAUAAAAUGGAUGUAUUGUGAUUUUUAGGAGAA
ensembl:lncRNA